rnacentral:lncRNA from 1 species
GAAGUGGAAGGUGCUCAGCAGGAAGAAUGGGGAGUGCUUAAGCAGCCAAUAGCAGCUCAGUUCCAUAGCCUCCAGGAAGGUCUGGGUGGGUGAAGUCAGCAAAAUGGAUGUUCCAAGAAGAAUUGUGACAGGGAUGAAUCUCCAUGGAAGGACCGAGUGAGGUUAUCUUUCCUUCUUACGGAUGUAUUGAACGGACCCGGAGGAGCUGCCAACCUGCUUGGAGGGACUGCUAACCUUUCAACACCCUCUGGUCACAUCCCAUCUCCCAGACUAGCAGCAUUCCCAAAGGGCCUGUACCACAGCAGGGCUCUCAGGCCCAGGAUGGAAUUGGUUGUAGAGCCUCCAGGUGCCAUGUCCUCCUCACCCAUACUCCUCUCCCCUCAUGGGCAGAAAGUGCUAACAGAAACACUGGCCCAUGGGGGCUGGGGGACUGGCACAGUAGAGACUGAAGAAAAGCUGGCCUGCUUCCGCUGUGGGAAGAGAGGCAGGGGUGCGCUUUGCAGAUUGGUGGGCCGGGUCAGCAAGCAUUUGCUGAAUAGUUCUGGGAGGAGGGAACACUCUGGCAAGGGCAAGGCUAAAGGAAGGCGCUGUCACCAAAUGCGUUUUGGCCUUGGCUCCCCAAGAAUCGGAGCCCAGUGAAUCCAGGGGAGGCCAGGCUAAGCUGGCUGGACUCGGUGUCAGUCCCAGAAUCCUUCUGCUCCUUCGUGGGUUCCUCAUGUGCCCUUCAGACAAGGUCCUGCACCCAGGGAGAAGGAAACCACGUUUGCAGCAGAGACUCAUCAAAUAGGCAGACACUAGAAGGUGAGGUCACAGCAAGAACACUCCCUGAGGCCAACACUGAUUUUCUUAACAAAUGCUGGGUUGCAUCAGGAACCUUGUCACACUGACAUCUUCCUUACCCCUGAUCUCUGAACAGCUUGAUUCUGAGGCCAAUAUCAACAUACCUCAUGCGUGUCCCAUACACUCUGACCUUCCACAAGGGACAAAGAUGGGAGAACCAGCGCCCUCUAGCCCUCGGAGAGCUGGGAAACUGAGUCCUGCUAACAGAACCAAAACUCCUAGGAAGAGAUCUAAAAUCUUAGGAAAAUGAAAAGAGGGACUCUACGGGGGAUGGGAAACAGACUU